UUUACGUUUUAAUUCCUAGCUCUAAUAUUAUGUUUGAGUUAUAAAUGUCCAAAAUUUAUGAUUAAAUUGAUAUAAAACCUGUAGUUUUGUGAUAACUUUGUUACUAAAUAUGUACUUUUGCGAUAUUUUAUAGCUCUAUGAUAAACCUAGUGUUAAAUCGGUAGUUUCAUAGUUUUGUAAUAACUUGAUUAAAACACCUAUAGUUUUGCGAAAAUUACCCUAAGAAUUAAAAGAUGGAAUAGUCUACCCAACCAACCUAUCCUCACAUGCCAGCCCACUAGCUCGACCAGCCCAUCUCUCAACCAGGCCUAGUGAGUGACUGAGAAUCCAAAGCAAAUACUAGUCUCGAAGCCCACGAAGAGGCAAGCGGGCGGCGUCGCCUUCUUCCCCUUCUCCGACGAGCCGCGCCGCCGCGGCGUCGUAUCCGAGGCAACCCCAGGCCAGAUGGCGGGCGCUGGUCGUCGUGGGCGGCGCGCUCCGCCGCCGCGUACGACGUACGGGGCCACGCGCGAAGACGCGACGCGACCACGGGCGCUCGAGAGUUUCCGUGCCAGCGAGAGCCAGAUUGGCACCCCGGUUGAAUGCCAGAGUGCAGCUUCCUCUGCAGCUGCAGCAGCCACCUCCAUCCAUGUUCUUGUUGAUUGUUGAAGAUGUGGUUAUUCCGUUCUUUCCAAAUCGGCCAAGCUGCGAGAAUGAUGAUUGUGUCAUAACCACGUCCCUUAGCUCUAGGCACCAUCUUCCUGCUGUCACUCCACCAAUGAAGAAAGACUUGCUGAUUACUGCUGUCACUCCACCUCACAACGCAUCAUGGUACUACCAAUUUCCAUUAAACUCAGACCCCAAACAUAGGAUCCUGCAUCUUAUCGGCUAUUACCAACUUCCAUUAACCUCAAACAACAAAACAUAUAUUCCCAUCUUAUCAGCUGUCGCUAUAUCUUGGGCAUGCAUCACUUCAAAAUUUGAGUAAUCAAGAAACUUGACUGUCUAUGCUUCUUUUAACAGAUCAUUUGAAACAUUUGAAGCGGUGGGUUUUAGUUAAAAGGGGAAAACUUUGAAUAUAAUGCUAGCUAGUUAGUUAUGACAAGGUAUAGCCUCUGCAAGUUAUUUUAUCCUUGGAUUGCCAAUGUUGUUGAGCAUGGGCCACUACACCUAUAAUCAACAUGUUUGCUUAAAUUACAAAAUAAAAAGAAAGUGUCCAAACAUCUAUCCAGCGGCAUGUGUGUUUGAAUGAGGUAACAUAACUGAACAUGAGGUGCAACACCUUACAUCAAUGGCAUAUCCAACUCUGAACAAGCCGUCAUCAUACCGGAAAGAUCAAUCAGGUUGAAUCAGAUGUUGCCUGGAUAUCUAUAUGUGAGCAAUCAGAAGUGCAUCACCUUCACAACUAAACUAAUCCUUAAUCCCAUCAAUAUAUUUCUGGUUUACAUUGAUAUACAUCACUGUACAUGCAUGACCUGGAAGCUAAAUGCAAACCAUGCAAUGGCCUCACGUGAGAGAAAAAGAACAAGACGUAGCCAAGGACAACUUGCCGGAAAAUGUCAGCAUGGAUCUAAAACAGUUGGGGGCACAUAUAGUACCUUGAAACAUGCAUACACGUACCGGCAAGUCAUCCUUGGCUGCAUUCCGUUCUCUAUCUCAUUUCACGAGUGGCCACUGAUAGCCAUAACUCAUACCUAGCAUUGGGUGAUAACAAGCACCAAAUAGUCUCUCUAUACUUCUCUCGGAACUUCUCUAGGAUAUGCACCACUAGAUGAUGCAUGCCAUCGACUGCCGCUUCUAUGUAGGAUUUCAGUCAUCCAUAUGACUUUGCCUUCUGUGUUCUGCAAUACUCUAUGAUCCUUCUGGCUUGCUAUUUAUAGGCUUCCAAAAGUGUACAAGUGAAAUCUGAUCUGCCUCUUUUAUCAAAGACAAUGCCUGAUUCUUUUGUAUAUAUGGAGGAGUUAGGUUUGAUAUGGAUAGAUAUUCUGCCCCCUCACACAAAGAGCAAUGCGCCUUACUGAUAUAUUGUGCAUUGCUCUCUUUGGCUUACACAAUUAUUUUAUCUACUGGAGCUAUUGGGACCGAGGAAAAUUUUAGCUAAAAGUUGUUUGAAUCAGACUUUGCAUUAGCUAUACAGUGCAGCUCAAUGAUAUUGUGGGUGCAGGAUAAAAGAAAUGGAUUUGAAAAAUCAUGGAGUUCUUCAUGGCUUACUAGACUUAAUAAUAUUGUUCUAAAAGUAAAAGGCAAUUCCAUGAUAAUGUCAAAAACGUAAUUAGUUAAAUAAUUUUAGGAUGCUAAAAUUUCAGAACAAUCGAAUGUGUUCUGAAUUUUGUUGACUUAAAAGUUUUUUGUGGAAGAACUAUUGAGGAGGGAAGAUCUGCAAUCUGUGUGUAGAUAUUCUGUUGUUUCUUGAAAAUACACACGAAACACUAAAGGCUACCAUGGCUACAAUCUGGAGCAAAGUUAAAUAUGCUCAUAUCAAGGGAAAGCAAAUCGAAUUCAGUUUAGUAGGAAACCUGAAGGAAUCAACAGUACUCCAAGAUAUGUGUUCCUCCCUCCCACGCGAGCUGUAUCCAGAUCGAUCAAUAUAAGUUACUGAUGCCUAUUUUCUUAUUAUCAAUUAAUAUUCACAAGUUGGGUAUUUCUGUCGCUAAGUGGUUGGCUGAGAGGCAGUGAGAAUUCAUGCCCAUUCCCUCUUUGACUUUGGAUUAAUCUCUUUCUGAGAGAACAUUCCUUCACCCCUGGACUCAUCAUUCCAGAUUGCCCUACCACUUACUCGUCAAUAUUCGAUGCUCAUUGGUUUAAAUUCGAUUUAGUCAAGUUGCAUAUGGGUGAUUUUGGAGGAGACAAUGUGCAAUUUUUUUCUGACCUACUCUUUGGGCAAGAAACUGCGUAGUGUUCAUAUACAGCGUUAGCUAGGCUUGCCAAAUAACAGAAGGUAUGUUACUUACAAAAUGGACCAUUAGAUUGUAGUGGACCAGAACAAAUUCUGUGGCAAGGUGACAUGUGUGAGCAAUGCCAUAUCAUUUUUUCUAAAGAAGAGAAUAAUGUCACUGUGCCCUUUAGGUGGGGGGAAAGCUGAAAAGGCGCCGCAGUUUGCGGCUCUUGAUCUUUCCAGAGACAACUUUACUUUUCUCUGAGAAAUUCUGUUUGGUCAACCCUUUAUCUGAUUCUCUUCACUGUCAUUUUCCCAUUAUCUUCAUGCAUCUAGAGGUUCUCAGGUUUUUUUUUUUGUUACAAUUAUAGUGCUUGUCAUGUGGGGGCGUAAGUAUCAGAGUAGGCAUAAGUCUCAAGUUAAACAAGGAUAAUGUUUUAGUUUAAUUUCGUUUUAUCUCUAGAGUUUGUUAGUAAGUUAGUUAGGAUUGUUAAUCAAUUACUUUCAGAUUAGGAUACGAUUGAGUUUUGUUAUCUGUAAGAUUUUCCUAUUUAAAGGGAUUGGGAGGAAGUAAUCGAAUAAGAAGAAAUUUAUUCAAUCUAUCUCUCUCUUCGCCAUUACGGCGUCGGGAUGACGAGGAGAACUUUGCCCUUGCCCUUCCGCCAGCCACGGCUACGCUUUACAUUCAACUCCGCAAAAUAGUCUCACCGAAGCUCGUGACAGUGCUGAAGUGUUUUUUGGGCCCUUUUUUCCUUUCCAGAUGUCUUAAACUCCUGCAGUUAACAUUAGUGCUGAAGUGUUCGCUGUCUUCCAUGGCACACUGUCUCCCGUACCAUUGUACGCGGUACUGGUGCCAAGGCGGGGUUUGACAAAUUGGAGUAGCACCAAUUUCAUCUUUUACUUUGGGAAUAUUUACUGUUGCAUAUACAACAUUUGAUAGCACAUGUACGGCAAUGAUUAAUUUUUUAUAUGAUUUAAUGUUGAAGAAAAAAUAAAAAAUAAAAUCUAUAUUUUAGUAAGGAUUUGAACUGAUCUAUGCUAACUGAAAGUGGACACGUGGAAAAUAUAUUGAUCGCAACAGAUUCAUUGUAGCUAAUCAUGGUAUUGGCACAAGUUAGUGCCAUUGGCACUUAGAGAAAUGUCCAGAAAAGCGUCGAGUGCAUCAAUUGGUUGAAAGAAUGCACUGUAACCUAACUCUUGAUUCAUCUGUCUUCACAGAUUGGAAUUUUGAUCUUGAUGUGUCACAUCUAUAACUUACCUUCAGUUUUGUUGAACAUACUGUGAUUUAGAAGAUUUUGUGCAAGCUUAAAUCCAUAUUUUAUGAUAGUUUAGAACUACUAUAAAGGAUGAUGCUUUUGAUAGGCUACAAAGACCAAGCGGCUGGGUUUGCAUAAGGUAUUGAGGAACACAAAUCCCCGGGUUUCACUGACGGCUGACAUGUGGUCAUCUAAUCAAAGGGUUACAUGUGCAUAAACAUGGUUUGUGUAUUUGUGAUAUUCCUCUUCAUGCACUUACUUACAUAGCAUGUCAAACUCGAGUUUCAGAAAUUAGUAGUUGUGCAAUGCUUUUUUAUUUUUAUGUGGCAUUGUUUUUCACGAAUUUGAAUUCUCAUUACUAAUCCUUGUUUGUCUUUGUUAGGUCUGUAAUGCACAAUGAAGUGUAAGUGAAAGAGAGUUUAACGACAAGUUUUGAGAAUAUAUUAGUCAGCUUUAUACUGAUUCAUGUCUCAAAAUUGCUAGAAUUAAAUAUGUUGAAGAUCGUAUGGUGCUACCGUGAUAGUUUUGUCAACUUGCAGACUCUGAACAUUGCAAACUAGGAAUGCAGGAUUAGAGCAGAGGCCUUGUUUUGUUUUCGAUUGAUAAAUCUGUUCUCCAGAAUGCAUGCUAGGAGAUGCAGACGAGAGUCCUGAGAGUUAUUUAUUUGUUUCUUUAUUUUUUUUGGAACUAAUGGUACAUUUAUUUGAGAUCCUUUGUAAUACACUGGUAUUGUGGUAGUAUUAUAUAAAUUUUGUUGUUGGACGUAGGUUGGAGCCUUGGUCAAUUAUUAGAUGGGGAGCUUAAUUUAGCUCCUCUCGCAGCUAGCUUCGUUUCCAUUUAUCCAUUGCCGCUCAUUCUGCUUUGCGGAUGGGGCAAAUGUGAUUUGUGGAUACUAUGCAGUUUGUUCAGGCUUCUGAAUAAGCUAAAAGAUGUACUAAUGAUUGAUGUUAUAGUUUCAGGUCUUAAUAUGGUUUGUUGAGCAAUUUGUAUCCACAAGAAAA